rnacentral:rRNA from 1 species
AUAAAUAACUUGUCAACCAAAUUUAAGGUUUAAUUUAUAAGAAAAAUAAUUUUAAAAUUUAAUUAUUAGUAAUUUUUAAUAAAAAUAAUUAUAGACUAUAGUUUAAAGUACUGUAAAGGAAGGUAAAAAAAUGAGAAAUAGUAGAUUUAAAAUUUUGUACCUUGUGUAUCAGGGAGAGUUUAUAUAAAUUAAUAAUAGUUAAAUAUCUCGAAAUAAAAUAUAGCUAAUUUUAUAAAAAAUUUUUUGUAGAAAAUUAAUUUUUAAUGUAAAAUUAAAGGUGAAACGCUAAUCGAGUUUUAUGAUAUCUAGUUCUUUAAAAUUAAAUUUAAUUUAGUUUUUAUAUAAACAAAAUGUAAAAAUUAAGUGUAGGAGGGAUUAGCUUCUUAUAAAAUAAAAUAAUAAAGAGUUAAGAGUAAUAUAAAUGUGGUGAAUUAGGCUUAAAAGUAGCUAUAUUGAUAAAGUGUUUUAAUUAAAUUGUUAUUGAAUAAUAUUUGUCAAAACUUUUUGUAGUAUUAAAGAAUUAAUUUAAAUCAAAAUGAUUAAAUUAUAAUGAUUCUAUUAGUAAAAAUUUAUUGUAAAUUAAAUCAAUAAAAUAAUAAAAAUUAUUUAAAAUUUACUUAGUAAUAUAAAGGAACUCGGCAAAUCUUAUUUCUUUGCCUGUUUAUCAAAAACAUGUCUAUUUGGAGUUAUAAAAAGUUUAACCUGCCCACUGAUAAAUAAUAAAAUUGAAUGGCCGCGGUAUCUUGACCGUGCAAAGGUAGCAUAAUCGUUAGUUUUUUAAUUGGAAUCUUGUAUGAAUGGUUGGACAAAAGAAAAUCUGUCUUUAUAUUAUUUAUUGAAUUUAACUUUUAAGUGAAAAGGCUUAAAUAUAUUAAAGGGACGAUAAGACCCUAUAAAGCUUAAUAUUAAAAUUUUAUUUAGUUGAAUUUUGUGCUAUAAAAACUUAGUAAUUGAAUUUAUUUUAUUGGGGCGAUAAAAGUAAAAUGACUGUUAACUGCUUAAUUUUGAAUACAUAAUAAAUGAUUGAAUUUUUAAAUGAUCCUAGUUAAAGAUUAAAAGUUUAAGUUACUUUAGGGAUAACAGCGUUAUUUUUUUUGAGAGUACUUAUCGAAAAAAAAGUUUGCGACCUCGAUGUUGAAUUAAAAUAUCUUUAUAAUUGCAGCAGUUAUAAAAGUAGGUCU